UACGAGAGGCCCAACCGUUAUUCGGAAUUACUGGGCUUAAAGAGUUCGUAGGCGGCGCAGAAAGUAGGGUGUGAAAGCCCUCGGCUCAACCGAGGAAUUGCGCUCUAAACUACUGUGCUUGAGGAAGCUAGAGGUGAGCAGAACUGAUGGUGGAGCGGUGAAAUGCGUUGAUAUCAUCAGGAAUACCGGAGGCGAAGGCGGCUCACUGGGGCUUUUCUGACGCUGAGGAACGAAAGCCAGGGUAGCGAACGGG
rnacentral:rRNA from 1 species